GGACUACAGGGGUAUCUAAUCCUGUUUGCUCCCCACGCUUUCGUGCAUGAGCGUCAGUGCAGGCCCAGGGGGCUGCCUUCGCCAUCGGUGUUCCUCCGCAUAUCUACGCAUUUCACUGCUACACGCGGAAUUCCACCCCCCUCUGCCGCACUCAAGCCUUGCAGUCACAAAGGCAGUUCCCAGGUUAAGCCCGGGGAUUUCACCUCUGUCUUACAAAACCGCCUGCGCACGCUUUACGCCCAGUAAUUCCGAUUAACGCUUGCACCCUACGUAUUACCGCGGCUGCUGGCAC
rnacentral:rRNA from 1 species